ensembl:lncRNA
UCUGUUGUUGGUCGGCCAUAUAAUCAAUACGUUUAAAACUGAGUAUGGAAUGCUUGAUCGUGAUCAGUGAAAUUAACGAUGAUUCCCUAUCUACAGAUAAAGGCACUGGUUUGGUUUAAGCUUUUUUCCUGGUCAAACGGCUUUGGAGCUCAUUUUCCGGAGUGACGUCUCGCAGAAUCCCUCCCAGGAGGUAAGAGCUCACGCAGGUAUCGUUCUUCGAUCAUUUCUCUACGUUUGCAAACGGGAAUGGCAACUUCUUCUUUCACGAUUCGGUCAUAAUCUCUUUUUUUCAUAUGAGUAACCAGGAUUUUACAUGGGCGAUCUUUUGAAGGAGGAUUAAAAUAAGGCGCGAUUGUCCAGGUUUGACCGCUUGCUGUGACAACUACGGGCAUCGGCAGACUUAUUUGCGCGAGAUCAGCUGCACCUGGACCUCCAGGAUCAUCGAGUGUGCGCGCAGUCAGUGUUCUCAGACGAAUCCUUGCAAUAGGAGGAUGCUUCCCAGCCGCAGCAGAAUAUUUCUCACGCAGAUUGACCCCUUCACUCAUCAGCCCGUGUCUCUCAACUGCCCUGAAGAGAAUGAUGAGACCAUGAGCAACGACUUCCUGCCCAGAGUCCUCGUGGAACCAGAUAGCAUGCUCAAGUCCAAAGCCGACCCCAACAAGAUGGACGACGAUCAGACGCCCCGCAGCCACGCACACCCUGCGGUCUACAAACACCCACCACAGCUACCCAGGGGCGUGCCGGGCAGAUUCCCACAGACACCCUUCCCCAGCCAG